AAGCAAGGGUAAAGCCUUGUGGAGGACCGAACCGUCAACGGCUGAAAACGUUCCGGAUGACUUGUGGAUAGGGGUGAAAGGUCAAUCAAACCCGGUGAUAGCUGGUUCUCCCCGAAAUAUAUUGAGGUAUAGCCUCGGGAAUUGAUUAGCGGAGGUAAAGCACUGACAGAGCUAGGGGUCCUACCAGAUUACCAAACUCUAUCAAACUCAGAAUGCCGCUUAAUUGUAUCCCGGGAGUCAGACGGCGGGUGCGAAGGUUCGUCGUCAAAAGGGAAACAGCCCAGACCAACAGCUAAGGUCUCCAAAUCCAUGCUCAGUGGUGAAGGUAGUGGAACCGUUUAGACAGCCAGGACGUUGGCUUAGAAGCAGCCAUCGUUUAAAGAAAGCGUAAUAGCUCACUGGUCUAAUGGCUCUGCGCCGAAAAUGUAACGGGGCUAAGCAUGGUACCGAAGCUUUGGCAAUCCCCUUUGGGGAUUGGGUAGGGGAGCGUUCGCUGCGGGCUGAAGGUGUAUCGGAAGGUAUGCUGGACUGCAGUGAAGUGAUUAUGCUGACAUGAGUAACGAUAAAAUAUGUGAAAAACAUAUUCGCCGAAAACCCGAGGUUUCCUGGGUAAAGGUAAUCUUCCCAGGGUUAGUCGGAUCCUAAGGUGAGGGUGAAAGCCGUAACCGAUGGAAAACAGGUUAAUAUUCCUGUACUUGUUGUGUAGCGCGAUGGAGGGACGCAGGAAGAUAGGCGGGCCGGGUGUUGGAUAUCCCGGUGCAAGCGUGUAGGAAUAUCCGGUAGGCAAAUCCGCCGGACGAAUCUGAGACGCGAGUCCGUGGGCGCAAGCCCUGAAGCCGUUGAGUCUAUGCUGCCUAGAAAAGCUCCUAAGUUUAUCCACAGCAAUCCGUACCGCAAACCAACUCAGGUGGGUGGGAUGAACAAUCCAAGGCGCUCGAGAGAACUCUGGCCAAGGAACUCGGCAAAAUAACCCCGUAACUUCGGAAGAAGGGGUGCUCUCUAGGGUGACAUGUUUAACAUAUGAAGCCCCGGGGAGCCGCAGUGAAUUGGUGGUGGCGACUGUUUACUAAAAACAUAGGUCUGUGCGAAGUCCUAAAGACGACGUAUACGGACUGACGCCUGCCCGGUGCUGGAAGGUUAAAAGGAGGGGUCAGCGCAAGCAAAGCUCCGAAUUGAAGCCCCAGUAAACGGCGGCCGUAACUAUAACGGUCCUAAGGUAGCGAAAUUCCUUGUCGGGUAAGUUCCGACCUGCACGAAUGGCGUAACGAUCUCCACACUGUCUCGGCCAGAGACUCGGUGAAAUUGCAGUCGCGGUGAAAAUUCCGUGUACCCGCAGAAAGACGGAAAGACCCUGUGCACCUUUACUAUAGCUUGACAUUGGAUUUUGGGCCUGCAUGUGUAGGAUAGGUGGGAGGCUGUGAACCCUGUACGCCAGUAUGGGGGGAGCCAUCCUUGAAAUACCACCCUUGCAUGUUUAAGAUCCUAACUUCUUCCGGUUAUCCCGGAGAAAGACAGUGUCUGGCGGGUAGUUUGACUGGGGCGGUCGCCUCCUAAAGUGUAACGGAGGCAUGCAAAGGUUCCCUCAGCCUGAUCGGAAACCAGGCGCUGAGUGCAAACGCAUAAGGGAGCUUGACUGUAAGAGAGACAUCUCGAACAGGAACGAAAGUUGGCGUUAGUGAUCCGGUGGUCCCGAAUGGAAGGGCCAUCGCUCAUUGGAUAAAAGGUACGCCGGGGAUAACAGGCUGAUCGCAUCCAAGAGUUCACAUCGACGAUGCGGUUUGGCACCUCGAUGUCGGCUCAUCACAUCCUGGGGCUGAAGCAGGUCCCAAGGGUACGGCUGUUCGCCGUUUAAAGUGGUACGCGAGCUGGGUUUAAAACGUCGUGAGACAGUUUGGUCCCUAUCUUCUGUGGGCGAAGGAGAAUUGAGAGGGCCUGUCCCUAGUACGAGAGGACCGGGAUGGACGCACCCCUGGUGAUCCUGUUGUCGCGCCAGCGGCAUAGCAGGGUAGCUAUGUGCGGAAGGGAUAACCGCUGAAAGCAUCUAAGCGGGAAGCCUGCCUCAAGAUAAGUUCUCCCCUCGAAAGAGCUGAAGGGCCCGGGUAGACUACCCGGUCGAUAGGCUGGAGGUGUAAGCGCGGCGACGUGCUCAGCUGACCAGUACUAAUAGCCCGAGCGGCUUAUUUUU
rnacentral:rRNA from 1 species